rnacentral:tRNA from 1 species
GCCUUUGUGGUGUAGUGGUCAGCACGCUCGACGCGUAACUGAGAGGUCCGUGGCUCGAUUUCCGGCGAAGGCG